AGUUAGAAAUGACUGCUAAUACCGGAUAAUGUCUUCGGACCAAAGAUUUAUCGCCUUUGGAUGGGCCCGCGUAAGAUUAGGUAGUUGGUGGGGUAAUUGCCUACCAAGCCGAUGAUCUUUAGCUGGUCUGAAAGGAUGAUCAGCCACAUUGGAACUGAGACAAGGUCCAAACUUUUUUAGAUGAGGCAGCAGUGUGGAAUCUUGGACAAUGAGCGCAAGCUUGAUCCAGCAAUAUUUCAUGAGUGAACAGACAGUUGUCAAGUUGUAAAACUCUUUCAGCAAUAAAUUAAUAAUGAUAUAAUUUGCAGUAGGAAGUCCCGGCAAACUAACACAGUGCCAGCAGCCGCGGUAAUACUGGGGGGGCCAGCGUUAUUCAUCAUUAUUGGGCGUGAAGGGUGCGUAGGUGGUCCGAUAAAUUUAUUGUUAAAAACUAAAUUGAAAUAUUAGUGUGCAUGUAAUAUUUACGGACUUAGAGUUAGAGAGAGGAUAGUGGAAUUUUUAAAGAUAAAGCUUGCAUUUAUUUGAUCUUAAAAGGAAUCUUAUAUGGCGAAGGCUACUAUCUGGAUCUAAACUGACAUUGAGGCACGGAAGUGUGGGUAGCAAGCAGGAUUAGGGACCCUGUUAGUCCAUACCGUAAACGAUGAAUGUUCAAUGUUGGGGUACUUAUCUCAGCAUUUUAGUUAACACGGUAAACAUUCCGCCUGGGAAGUACGAUCGCAAGGUUGAAACUUAAAAGAUCUGACGGGGAUUUGUCCACACGGUGGAGCAUGUUGUUUAAUGCGAUGAUCCGCGCAAAACCUUACCAGUUCUUGACAUGUACGUUAAAUUUUAUAUUUAAUAAUAUAAAAAAGUAUACAGGGUUGCAUGGCUGUCGUCAGGUUAUAUCGUGAGACUUUAGGUUAAUUCCUAAAAUAAGCGAGACCCUUUUCU
rnacentral:rRNA from 1 species